AAACAUGGGAAAAUUGAAAACACGGAAAGCAUCCCAUUUUCCAUUAUUGUGCGUGAGAGCAGAGAACCAAGGAAGGCCCGCUACCUUCUUCCUCAACAAUCGACCACUACCCGCCACCUAGAACACCAGAUUUCACAACCAUUCGAACCCCCUCACCUCCCUCUUCAACAUCUAGUCAUCACCUGGCCAUAGAGUUGCCCAAAACAGCCCCAAUCAUCACCCAAAAUCGCGCUACCAGUCACGGUUUUCUCCAUACUUCCACUGCUGUCGGCCACCGUUUCGAGUGCGGACCACCACCACUCUACUCCUCUCAACCAGGCGUAUCCAAUACAGCCAUGUGUCACCUGCAAUUUUGUCCGAAUUCGAGUGAGCUUGUGAAAGCAGUCCCUGAGUUGUGGCAGAUUCGGUCCCAACAAAAUUGAUGAAAUUUUAUUGAUGCAAACAAUCAAUUCUACUUUCCAAACAUCAAGGUUGGUUUUUUAAAUGGGUUGGGUUUAGUUUUUGCACAUUUAUUUAUGGUUUCUUGUAUGUUAUUGAAUUUGUUGGCUACUUAAUGUUAUUGAAAUUUUCGAAAUUGGAUGUUGAAAACGAGGUG
rnacentral:lncRNA from 1 species